UGGAGGCCGCGUGGGUGCAGGAUCUUUCGAAUUCGAUCAUCCUGUACUGUUUGUUUACAACAGAAAUUAUCACUCAUCAAGUCAUCAGUGUCACACGCGAUGUUCGGAUGUUCAUUGUUCAUUCGUGUGCGAAUUGCAAUUCUCGGGAAAAUGACAAAAUGUGUGUAAUUUAAAAUUGAUCAGAAUUAUUGAUAUUGAAAUCUUAAUUUCUGAAGCAAAGUGUGAGCGGAAAGUACCUACGCCAUAUUUUCACAUUUUAUUGGUCGACGUGUUUCAUGUAAUUCCUUAUCAGUUAUCAGAAUCGGAACCAUCGCCAUGGUUUGCGUCGAGUGACCAUCAGGAAAACACGUGUUAAAAAGUCGAGUCAAUUUUAAUGAAAAUGCUUUCAACAUGACGGAUAUUCCUCACUUAAUUGUGGAACGACCGCACCGAUGUUCAUGAUUAAUCUUAUCAAAUGUUGCUUAAUUAAAACAAGAAUGUGGUAAUACAAGAUGGAAUAUUCAAAUGAUGCUGUCAUAGAUUUUAUCGAAUGGAAAUUGCUGAUUCCCCUAUAGUUUCGAAUGGUUCGAAAAGCGAAUUUCACCUCGAGGCCGAUUCCUUUUCAAACGCCGCGCCGCGCCGCCCGCGCCCUGCCCUGCACCGCGGAAGAGUUUCGUCGAAUUGAAAAGAACCAUGCACGGCAGCAUAAUGGAAAAAAUGCUCCGCAAAAAAACAACAAAAUAGACGAAUUUAUUCGGGUAAUUAAUUCUACUGUAGUUUUAAGGGCGUUACCUUAGGUUCGAAUCGAUUCUCAAUAUAUGUUGGGAUUAUUUAUUCGAAAAUGCUUUUAUCAGUUCAUUAAAUGACAUAAGUAUGGGGACUAAGGAAUAAGGAUUCCAGUGUACUAUAAAUAAUCAAAGCCAUCCACAUAAACAAUGUCCUAUUUUUGAAACAGUGCAGGCUAAAAACGCGCAAAAAAUUCUACAGUUCGUGUAAUGGAAACUUACGAGUAUUUCAAACGUGUUUUAGUUUUAAAUCUAAAAAUUCGAUUCGAUUUUUUAUCUCGAAAGCUUGACGUUUUCCUAGGCGGAGUCUGCGGUAAAAUGUGGCAUUUUUUUCCCUUUAACUUUUCCUCGUAUAGUUAGAUACAAUAUAACGUUAAUGGUGAAGGUAUACUUACUUAUACUACAUACUCGUAGAAUAAAAUGGGAUAAUUUGUAAGUAAAUAAAUCGUAUUAAUGAGCGAUCUAAUUUCUAGGCUAUUAAUUACUCGCAAACGCGACUUUUCUCGUGUAAUUUACAAUUACCUACAGAGAUAUAUCGAUGCCCGGUACUUCGUUAAUGAAGUUAUCAAACUUCAAAUUGCUACAGUCCGUUAAAUUUACCAUAGGUAAGAGUCAAGGCUGUGUGGUAAUUUAAUAUUAGUUAUUCCAACUAUCCUAUGAUACGAUGUCCAUCUACAGGCUACAGGCUCCCCAAACUACACCUUAUCCCUUUUUACCUAUAUAUGUACGUAUCGUGGGUAUAGUUACGUCCAUGUAAGUUGUAUUGGUAUGCACUAUAAAUAAAUACCUAUGCUAAUGCA